rnacentral:rRNA from 1 species
UACGUAGGUGGCAAGCGUUGUCCGGAUUUACUGGGCGUAAAGAGCGCGCAGGCGGUCGUUCAAGUCGCGUGUGAAAGCCCCCGGCUCAACUGGGGAGGGUCACGCGAUACUGAUCGACUCGAAGGCAGGAGAGGGUAGUGGAAUUCCCGGUGUAGUGGUGAAAUGCGUAGAUAUCGGGAGGAACACCAGUGGCGAAGGCGAACUCACUGGACACAUAAUUGACGCUGAGGUGCGAAAGCGUGGGGAGCAAACAGGG